GACGAACGCUGGCGGCGUGCUUAACACAUGCAAGUCGAACGGUAAGGCCCUUCGGGGUACACGAGUGGCGAACGGGUGAGUAACACGUGGGUGAUCUGCCCUGCACUUCGGGAUAAGCCUGGGAAACUGGGUCUAAUACCGGAUAGGACCACUGCCUGCAUGGGUGGUGGUGGAAUGCUUUUGCGGUGGGGGAUGGGCCCGCGGCCUAUCAGCUUGUUGGUGGGGGGAUGGCCUACCAAGGCGACGACGGGGAGCCGGCCUGGGAGGGUGACCGGGCCCGCUGGGACGGAGAUACGGCCCAGACUCCUACGGGAGGCGGCAGUGGGGAAUAUUGCACAAUGGGCGCAAGCCUGAUGCAGCGACGCCGCGUGAGGGAUGACGGCCUUCGGGUUGUAAACCUCUUUCAGCACCGACGAAGCGCAAGUGACGGUAGGUGCAGAAGAAGGACCGGCCGACUACGUGCCAGCAGCCGCCGUAA
rnacentral:rRNA from 1 species